rnacentral:rRNA from 1 species
GAGUUUGAUCCUGGCUCAGGACGAACGCUAGCGGCAGGCCUAACACAUGCAAGUCGAACGGUAACAGGAAUUAGCUUGCUAAUUUGCUGACGAGUGGCGCACGGGUGCGUAACGCGUAUACAAUCUACCUUUUGCUGAGGGAUAGCCCAGAGAAAUUUGGAUUAAUACCUCGUGGUAUUAUUGACAGGCAUCUGUUAAUAAUUAAAGGUUACGGCAAAAGAUGAGUAUGCGUCCCAUUAGCUAGUUGGCGAGGUAACGGCUCACCAAGGCAACGAUGGGUAGGGGUCCUGAGAGGGAGAUCCCCCACACUGGUACUGAGACACGGACCAGACUCCUACGGGAGGCAGCAGUGAGGAAUAUUGGACAAUGGGCGAGAGCCUGAUCCAGCCAUGCCGCGUGCAGGAAGACUGCCCUAUGGGUUGUAAACUGCUUUUAUACAGGAAGAAUAAGCCUUACGUGUAAGGUGAUGACGGUACUGUAAGAAUAAGGACCGGCUAACUCCGUGCCAGCAGCCGCGGUAAUACGGAGGGUCCGAGCGUUAUCCGGAAUUAUUGGGUUUAAAGGGUCCGUAGGCGGAUGAUUAAGUCAGGGGUGAAAGUUUGCAGCUCAACUGUAAAAUUGCCUUUGAUACUGGUUAUCUUGAGUUGUAUUGAAGUAGGCGGAAUAUGUAGUGUAGCGGUGAAAUGCAUAGAUAUUACAUAGAACACCAAUUGCGAAGGCAGCUUUACUAAGUACUAAACUGACGCU